UCCUGGCUCAGGACGAACGCUGGCGGCGUGCUUAACACAUGCAAGUCGAGCGGGAAACUUCGGUUUCCAGCGGCGGACGGGUGAGUAACACGUGGGCAACCUGCCUCACAAUGAGGGAUAGCCUUCCGAAAGGAAGAUUAAUACCUCAUAACACAAGAGAAACGCAUGUUUCUCUUGCCAAAGAAUUUCGUUGUGAGAUGGGCCCGCGGCGCAUUAGCUUGUUGGUGAGGUAACGGCUCACCAAGGCUUCGAUGCGUAGCCGACCUGAGAGGGUGAUCGGCCACAUUGGAACUGAGACACGGUCCAGACUCCUACGGGAGGCAGCAGUGGGGAAUAUUGCACAAUGGAGGAAACUCUGAUGCAGCAACGCCGCGUGAGUGAUGAAGGUCUUCGGAUUGUAAAGCUCUGUCUUCUGGGAC
rnacentral:rRNA from 1 species